rnacentral:rRNA from 1 species
GUUGGGAAUCUUGCGCAAUGGGCGAAAGCCUGACGCAGCAACGCCGCGUGCGGGAUGAAGGCCUUCGGGUUGUAAACCGCUUUCAGCAGGGACGAAAAUGACGGUACCUGCAGAAGAAGCUCCGGCUAACUACGUGCCAGCAGCCGCGGUAAUACGUAGGGAGCAAGCGUUGUCCGGAUUUAUUGGGCGUAAAGAGCUCGUAGGCGGUUUCGUAAGUCGAGUGUGAAAAAUCUGGGCUUAACCCAGUGGAGCACUCGAUACUGCGAUGACUUGAGUCUGGUAGAGGAGUGUGGAAUUCCUGGUGUAGCGGUGAAAUGCGCAGAUAUCAGGAGGAACACUAACGGCGAAGGCAGCACUCUGGGCCAGUACUGACGCUGAGGAGCGAAAGCGUGGGGAGCAAACAGGAUUAGAUACCCCAGUAGUCC